rnacentral:tRNA from 2 species
GCGGGCGGAGCUCAAUUUGGUUAGAGCACUGCCCUGUCACGGCAGGGGUUGCCAGUUCAAAUCCAGUCGCCCGCA